rnacentral:lncRNA from 1 species
GGAGAGACGCCCUUCCACCUCUGGGAGCCUCGGUCUGUUGGGGUCGCGGAGUUCGGGCGCGGCUCCGGGUACCCGAGACCAGCGGCGGCAACUUCUAACACGGGAGAUUUCCCGCCACCCCACCCCGCCGCCGCGAGUCCUCGCGGGGCGUGUUGCGUGCGGAGGUCAGGCUGCCACCCUCUGUAGUUCCCUAACCCCAAACUCGGAGACUUCUAAGAGCCACACCACCAAGGAACUUCUAGUCCUGGAGGUCAAUGGUGGGGCAAACCUCGCCUCAAUUCUUUGACCCCCUCGGGUCGUAAGCAGGGCUAAGAGGCUGCGAAGAAGAGGCCUGGCCAUGGGUGUAUGGGGGAAGAAACAUCUCAGGCUCACUCAUGCCCCCUCCCCGACCUUCUCCCACCUGCCGCCAUCCCCGCAGGCUGGGGAGCCAGGGUAACUCGGGGCUGCUCUCUCGAAUUUAUUGGAACGCCGAGUCGGAAUGAGCUGCGCUAGGAGAGCCGAGGGAAGGAGCGAGAGAGGGAGGGGGCGGCUGCCUGUGGGAACGCGGGUUCUUCCAGGGAAGCGGAGCGGGACUGCCGCGUUCCCCUCGAUUUGCACCGUCACUCGGGUUGUUUGGGAAGAAAAGGGGAGGCGCUGUGCGUGCCACCGGGUACCUGGACCUGGAUGCCCAGUGUGUAUGCAUGCCUGUGGCGCUGCAAUCGACGGGAUUUCUCUGGCUGUCGUUUGCGCUGCAUUUAUCCGAAUACAUCCAGCUCGCAGGCAUCCUGCAAGAAACGGCUCCCGGCUCGCGUGUACGCCGACACCUCGGCCCAACGCAGGACUCGAGGUGGUUUCUAGUGCCCGGGUGGCUGCAAGUCUGCCCUCCGAGGGAGGCUGGACAAGCGGCGCCCCCAGGUCGAGCGGCCUCUCGCUGCCUGGCAGUGCCUGGCAGCCCCCACCUCUGCCAGUGCUUCGGAAACCCGCCUGGCCAGGUUCGCCCGCGGUGAAAAAUGAAAGCAAAUUCCCCAACAGAGGUAGCCGGAACUUUCCUCGACGAAGGCUCCCUCCUGCGCCUGUGUCUGGAGAACCCCCAGAGCGCUGCAAGUUAGCAAGAGAGAUUCGAUGGCGGCUCUGGAAGGCGCACGAAGGGUGGGGCGGGGGAGCAAAGAGGCCACUGGGUGACCCAGCCUGGUCCGGGGUGAAACGCUAGAGAAGGCGCCUCGCCUUCCUUAUUUCAAUGCAACUCCUCGGCCCCAGACGGUAAAAAUAGUUUCCAAGCUGCCGCGGACGCCCAGGAUGUGUUUGCAGAGAUCAAACUGGGGAGGAGGCAGCUUUGUAAAAGUUGCAGAAAGAUUAGCCGAGAAGCGUCCGCCCGGCGGGGCUCAAGAAAGCUUGGGGACAGCUCCAUGUUCCUUGGGGCGGAAUGGCCCAAGAAUUGGCCUGGGUAACCCCCUGCCCAGUUCUCUGUCCUCACUUCGAGCCAGUGCUUAAAUAACUUCCCGCCGCCUGCCCUGCAAACUUCCCGGCGCGGCGCCGUUGAGGCCAGGACACAGCAAAGGCUAGCAAAACCCCGCCGCGGCGCGCUCGGCCCCGGCCCUGAGAGGCUGCGCGGGUGGGAGGACCAGUGUGGUUUCUGCUCCCACUCGGCUGCCCAGACCCUCAAGACCGAUCCCCCAACUCCUGGGAGCGGGUGCUUCCCUCUGGGAGCCGAGAUCUUGCGGGGCCAGCGAGGGCGCAAAGUGCGCGCGCUGGCCCGCGCGGGGGCGGCCGCGCGUCUCUCCGCGGGGCCUGUCGCCAGGCCGGCCGCGGCGCGUGAGUGAUGAGGGCAGAGAAGGGCGCCCAUAAAUCGCGGGUGUCAGGGCGAAAAACUCUCUUUAUUGUCUGCGUGAUGGAUGGGCCCGGGGACGAGACACCAAAUACUUCGUAUCGCCUUUAAAUGGGAACACAUUUUCCGCGGCCAUAAUUCAUGUUUUUUAAAUAGAAAGUUUGAAAUGUUGCCUAUAUUUCACCAGCCCUGACAUAUUUAUGAAUCGCUCCCUGCAUGCAAAUAUCAUUACUUAAAGCGCCGGGGAGAGCGCGGGGGAGGGGAGGAGGCGCGGUUCCCGGGGCGUGGGGGUGGUGAACCGGGGAAAUAUCGGUGGAGGGGGGCCAUCUCCCUAAAGGGCAGAGGGUGAGGUGCGGUGAAUAGCCGUAUCCGGAAACCGAGCGUGCCCCGGGCUUCUUUCCCGCCGCCAGACCCCGCACAGCCGCCCUGGGACGUUUUUCGAGGCUUGGGACCUAAGACGGGUCCCCGGACCCUGCUGGGAAACCAGGGGGCGUUUUUCGUCCCUCUCUGAGGCCAUUAUCCAAGCUGAAACCACCUUUUAUAAGAAAAAAGUUUAAAGAAAAAAAAUUUAACAAACACAAAUAAUAAUAAUAACCCAACAUGUUUCGCGUUCUUUGCCACUGCAUCGAUUUUAUUGAUUUUCAUUCUGCAAACCUGGGAAUGUGCGCGCUCGGGAGGGGAGGCUGUCAAAACCCAGUCAUCGCGGGGACUGGAUGGGGGACAAUUCUCCGACGCCGCGGCCUGGACCCGCCCCCACCCAACCGGCGCACCACCUCCCAGGCACCACGGAGCCUGCGCAAGCUGCGGGGCCGUAAAGGAACCGGCCCCCAAUCUCCGGGGCUUCAGUCCCGCCCCUCUCUCCCCCCAGUGCCCUGCAGCGCUCCCAGGGUCCGUGUCUGCCCUCCCCAAGCCCCCACUGUCAAUACAAUCCCUGUUAAAAAAAAAAAAUCUUUUUAGAGCCAGGCACGUGCCGUCGGCCUCUCCCCUGCCCGCCUGGCCCAGGAGGCGCCCACACCUGCGCCCUCACUUGCCGAGACUUUUACCUGUGCAGUCCCCGGCGGCGCCUGCAGCCGCGCAGGUAACCGAGAAAUGGAAGGGAGGGCUGGGGAGUGAGAAGGACAGAGAGCACCGCCCGACACAACCAGACGCGCGGACCCGGGGCCUCCUCUCUGGACCGGUGCUGGGGCCCUGGUAGAACCAGCUCCGGGAGCCGAAAUUGAGCCAUGAAGAGUGGGCCGAGGGAGGGGCGAGGGGAACGGGCCUCAGGAGGGAGGGGCGGGCCCGGCGGCACUUCCGUUGGGGGUGGGGCUGCGGGCUGCCGCGCCGGUCCCGCCCCUCCGCCGCGCGGGCCCGCCCGCUCCAGGCCAGGCUCCGCCCCCACCGACUCGGAGCUGGAUCUCAGGCCACGGCGCCCCCCCAGUCGCGCCCCCAACCCCGGAGGCCUCGGGCUGAACCGGGUUUCGCAGGAGGGCACAGGGCGGCUCCCUUUUCCUCACCUGGGGGUACUCUCUUUUUAAGUCAUAGGAACAGAAGCAUCUGCAGACUAGGAUCCCAGGCCCAAACUUGCACGUGAGAUUUGUUGAAACUUAGGUCAUUUGGUACUCCUGACACCUGCCUGGCCCAGGGGUCCUCACGCUCUCUCUGCGGAUGUGAUCAGCCGUCCUCUUGGACAGUGGGGAAUAUAGUCCGUGCUCAUAGGGUCCCACCUAUCUUUCAGGAAGAACAAAAGCAAAAACUAACACUUUUUGAUUGUUCAUUUUGUGCCAGGUGCCAUUUAAAAAUUUUGUAUGAAUUAUGUCCUCGCCCACAGCGACUCUCUGAGAUCUGGGGCAUGCCAACUCCUUACUCUGGGGGAGUAUUGGAGGGAGAAUUCUACUUUUCUGAUGGGGGAGUACCAGCCUGUUAACCACAACCAUUUGCAGCUGAAGCCAGUGCAGAGCAGGAGGGAGAUCUGCACAGAGGAGAACAGUAUAAAUGGCAUGGGGUCAUCUCAGCCCCUGGCCAGCUCCCAGCCUAAUGGGAAAACCGGACCAUUGAGCAUUCCUUGCUGUUUCCCUGUAGUCCCAGCCCAAGCCAGCAUGCUCUUUUUUUAAAAAGCAAAUCCAACCAUGUUUCUCUUCUGCUUAAAGGCAUCCGGGUUCCCAUUGUUCUUGAGAACAAGUUGAGCUUGCCUCCCCUGGCUGGCGGGUCUACACUGGCUCUGCCCCAGCUUGCCUUUCUGCCUUUGUCUGCCUCCACACCCCCUCACCUGGAACUCCUGCUACCCAAGGCUUCCUUUUAGUUCCUCAAAUGUGCCAUGCUACUCCCCACCUCAAGGGCUUUGCUCCUGCUUUUCUCUGUCUCUCUGGAAUGACCUGUCCUUCUCUUCACCUGGCUUGCGCAUACUCUUCCUUCAGGUCUCAGCUCACACAUCACUUUCCUGCAUCCUCCCGCCUCCCAUUACCCUCACUUAUAAUAGAAUUUCCUGUUGAGAGUCUGUCCGCUUCACUGGAUGGUAAACUCCCAGGGGGUAGGGACUAGGGCCGUUCCUUCAAGGAACAAAUGAAGAAGGAACAUUUGUAUAAACCACCAACUAUGAUGAACGAAUGAAACUGCCCUUUUUGGGGCCACCAGUAAGUAUUCUCCAUGGUCUCACAUUCCAAGAUGUUCUCAACUUAAUGAGGGCGAUGAUACAAAUCUCAUGAAAACAUAUGUUAUUUUGAAUGCCUUUAUUGUAAAUGUCAAAUAAGGGGAUGCUGGAGGAGGUUGGAGAAGAGGAAUAUGCAUGGAUUACAGCCAUUUAUUCAGGGUUUCAAGAUGCAAGAUGUGUUGGUUGACACAAUUUAAUGGAAAACCAUGCCACCCACGACCAUCUCCCAGUGUUGGGCAUGUAUGUCUCAAGGCUCUAGCCUGCACCCCCUUUCCUCUUCCUUUCUUCACAUAUUAUUGCUAUCACAGUUCAGUUCUUACUAGUUUCUGACUUAACUGCUGCUACAAGAACCUUCUAAUUGUUCUGCCCAUCCUCCACCUCUCCUGCCUCUAAUCCAUCAUACAUACUCCUGCUGGGUUAAUUUUCCUGACCACAUCAUUCCCUUACUCAAAACUCUUCAGUGGCUCCCUAUGAUACAGUGUAACACUUGACUCUUCAUAGCCCACUUCCAAACUACUUUUGUAAAGCUUUAAGAUGCAUUCCAAAAUUAUGAAAGAAACACAUGUUCACCUCAACCAGGAAAACACUCAAAGAUAUACAAAGAAAAACAUCAGUGAUCUUCCUCACCUCCUCUGCAUUUCCCACCCAGUCUCCCAAGACAUCCAUUGUUAAGGACCUGGGGUAUAACUUCUACCUCUUUCACCAUGCUCCAUGCUCAUAAUAAACUAUAUUCAUAUAUGUGGAGCUAUUGUGUUAUUGCCUAUUUAUACAAAAAGGAUUAUAUUAGGGGUCUCUGCAACUCGCUCAUUCAUUCUUAAUAAUAAAUGGGUCUAUAGAUAUGGAAUGAAUAUAUUCAUUUUUUAGCUACAUAGUAAUUUUAAUUUAUUUUUAUUUUUUUUUAAUGUAUGUAUAUAUGUAUGUAUUUUAGACAGGGUCUCACUUUGUUGCCCAGGCUGGAGUGCAGUGGCACAAACAUGGCUCACUGCAGCCUUGACCUUCCAGACUCAAGCGAUCCUCCCGCCUCAGCCCCUCAAGUAGAUGGGACUACAGGUACACACCACCACGCCUGGCUAAUUUUUGUAUUUUUCGUAGAGAUGGGGUUUUUCCAUGUUGCCCCAGCUGGUUUUGAACUCCUGAGCUCAAGGGAUCCACCUGCCUUAGCCUCCCAAACUGUUGGGAUUACAGGUCACCAUGCUGGCCAGCUACAUAAUGUUUCAUAAGAUGUAUAUACUGCACCUAUUCAACCAUUCCCCUAUUAGUGGGCACAUAGAUUGUUACCAGGUUUUUUUUGCUAAUAAAAUUUCUUAUGUCUAUAUCCUUGCAAUUAGUGAUUUUACUUCUCUAGGAUAGUUUACCAAAAGUGCAGCUACUUACACGUCAGCCA